AUGCCCCAGAACAUUGGCGACCAAACAUCAUAUGCCCAAUUAGUUACGAGACUAACUCAUUGGGGUUUUGCUUGGAGCAUUCUUGAGAUGUUCAAUGGUGUUCAGACUUGGUGUGCCAAAUCACCAGAUGAGAUUUAUCAGUCAGUUGUCCUGAAGAAAGAGAAAACAAUGUUCCUGUACAAUUUACCUAUGGAGGUCGCUAAUGUCCUCUCUGGCUGCUAUGACUAUGACCUUCGGGAUCACUCCUUGAUGUUAGAUAUCUUACAGUCAUUUGAAAGCAUUAUUGAAGUUUGUCACAUGAAAGCAUGGAACGGCUUUCUUAGUUGUGUCGUUUAU
rnacentral:rRNA from 1 species